rnacentral:misc_RNA from 1 species
GUACUAUGACAUUUCUGGCUGUUAUAUCUUAAGGCCAUGGGCAAUGUCCAUCUGGGAGAUAUUGCAGACCUUUUUCGAUGCUGAAAUUAAGAAGAUGAAGAUAAAAAACUCCUACUUCCCUCUCUUUGUGUCCCCUGCUGUUCUACAAAAGGAAAAGGACCACAUAGAGGGAUUUGCCCCUGAGGUUGCUUGGGUUACAAAAUCUGGAGACUCUGAUCUGGAGGUGCCCAUUGCGAUUCGACCAACAAGUGAAACUGUGAUGUAUCCUUAUUUCUCGAAGUGGAUUAGGGGACAUCGUGACUUGCCCUUGAGACUUAACCAGUGGUGCAACGUUGUGCGAUGGGAGUUUAGCAACCCCACCCCAUUCAUUAGGAGCCGUGAAUUUCUCUGGCAAGAAGGUCACACUGCUUUUGCAACUAAGGAGGAGGCAGAUGAAGAGGUUCUUGACAUCUUGGAGUUGUAUAGACGUAUAUAUGAGGAAUUCUUAGCUGUUCCAGUAAGUAAGGGAAAGAAAAGUGAGCUUGAGAAGUUCGCUGGAGGACUCUACACGACUACAGUAGAGGCUUUUAUCCCUAAUACUGGCCGUGGUAUCCAAGGUGCAACUUCACACUGUUUGGGCCAAAAUUUCGCAAAGAUGUUUGAGAUAAAUUUUGAAAAUGAGAAGGGAGAAAAGGCUAUGGUCUGGCAGAACUCCUGGGCCUAUACUACCAGAACGAUUGGUGUGAUGAUCAUGACUCAUGGAGAUGAUAAAGGCCUGGUCUUACCUCCUAAAGUUGCAACAACUCAAGUAGUUGUUAUCCCUGUGCCAUACAAGGAUGCUAAUACUCAAGGAAUCUAUGAUGCCUGUGCUGCCACUGUUAAAAGCUUGAAUGAAUCUGGUAUUCGUGCUGAGGCUGACUUCAGAGACAACUACUCGCCUGGCUGGAAAUAUUCUCACUGGGAAAUGAAGGGGGUCCCUCUUAGGAUUGAAAUAGGACCAAAAGAUCUUGCAAAUAACCAGGUACGAGCUGUUCGCCGUGACAAUGGAGCCAAAACUGAUAUUCCUGUGGCAAACUUAGUCGAACAAGUAAAAGAUGUGCUCGAUUCUAUCCAACAAAAUCUAUUUGAAACUGCAAAACAAAAACGGGAAGCUUGUGUUCAGGUUGUAAAGACCUGGGAGGAAUUUGCAGAAGCAUUGGGCCAAAAGAAAUUGAUAUUGGCUCCUUGGUGUGAUGAGGAG